rnacentral:lncRNA from 1 species
AAUAAGAGGUGGGAGGCAGCCUCACAAGUUAGCAAUGCAGGGAAUGUUACAAGGAGUUAGCUUCAGUAUGAAAAAAACAUUUGUUUAGAGGCAUGGGAUAGAAUCACUGAAAUGCUGAGACAACUGUUCCUUCUCCUCCCUUGAGCUAAGACCCUGAAAGCUGAACCAGUACCAUCUCCUUGGAGCACCUUCUGAGGGUCCCUCUAGCCUACAAAGUGUAGUCAAGUGGAAUUUGUGCGCUUUCCUGAUUCAGGCCCAAUCCAGUCUUCCUAUGCCAGCCACAGAGCAGUCCCAUACUCCCUUCUGCUCAAUCCUACCCUGCCUCUUCUGCCUAAGCGUACAGGUAGCAGACCAGCAAGUUAACUACAUAAUCACAUCUCUCAGUAGAACGUGACUACCAUUCCUGCAAGAACCUUAAACAAACACUUAUCACCAUCAAGAUGCCUAUUCUGGCAGAAGCCCAUUCCUCCAUCUGCAUGGAUGAUCAGAACAGAAAACAAUCCGGGAAUAUGUUGCUGUUUAGAAUUGGAGCAUCAAAAGCCAAUGCAGAAGAUACAGAAGGAGCAGCCAGGAAGAAAAUCAGGACAGUGGUGUUUCACAGAAACCUAGAGAGAAGAGAAUUUCACAGAAAAAUUAGCAGAGCAUGCCAACUACUGAUACUGAUUAGGGAAAUUUAGAAAUGUCAAAAAUCUUCUAACUCAGCCAUGAAGAGAUCACUGCUGAUUUUCUGUCAGGGAAAAACCCCAA